GGUGGCCCGAGGCGGGUCCUCCUCUUCCCCGCAGAUCCUGCAAACCCUCCAUUCCUCGGAGUCUCUGCCUUCGGUGCGCGCGGCCCCUGGAUGUUAAGGUUCACGCGGGCGCCAGUCAGGAGAAGUAGCGACAGUCCCCACCCAUCAUCUUUCCCCAAGGCAGCGCCCGGACCAACGCCGCGGGAGCCAGGCCUGCUGGAGCCCGAGCGGCUUCCGGCCCAAGGAGAGACGCACUUGAGUGAUCGCAAGGAGCAAACUUGGCGCUCUCCUCGGGCCUCGGAGAGCCCGGCGGAAAGCGGUGAGACCUGCGCAGCCGCCCCUUCUUCCCUCUCCUCCACGGAGCUGCCGCUUUGGAGCCAGACGAUUGUUUGGCGGCAGCCGCUACAUCUCCCGACCCCAGGUCUUUGCCUGCUUCAGAGCGAUCCGCGCCCUCCGCCCAGCUGGGAGGCGGGAGACUCCAGAUUGUGUGACCUGCAGGGCGAACCUCAGGCAGUUGGGCUUCUUACACACAGCGGGACUCCGGAUAAGAGUUCAGGAGAGGCCGGAUCCUCUACAAGCACAGUAUUGACUGGACCUCCAACGUGUGUGCUUUCACCACCGCAGCCCACCUGCCCACCCCCAGGCGCCCGCAGGAUGCCUCUGCGGCAUCCACUAUAUUUGCGUACCCUCCACUUCUCGGAAGAAAUAUCUGUCUUUCGUUACGUUAUGCCUGGCCACGGUCACCUCUUAGCCCCACCUUCCCUGGGAUUACGAGGUGGGGUUCUCACUUAAGCACCCUGUGGCCCGCGCACUGCGCAGCGGUUGAGACCAGGGCUAACUGCCGGGCCUGUCGACUCUCGUUCGUGGGAAGAGGGUUGCGGACUCAGGAGACGGUGAAAACAGCGCAGCUCCCUAACCGCCCUGCCUAGGGGCCGGCUUCGCAGCGACCUGAGUAAGGCCGGCUCCACACACUUGGGAGCCGUGCACGGAGGCAAGGGAGUAAGGCACGCGUCCAGGUGCGUCGGAGAGCUAGCCUAGGUCUAAGUGCCCCUUAUGUGUAAGUGCGUCCUGGGUUUCCGGGUCCGAGGGUCUCUUUCUCUGUCCACGUGAGCGCUUUGGGUCCGCCCCUCCGGGCGACGGUGGCUCUGAGCGCUCCAGUGCUUCCCUGAGCGACCCGCGCCUGUCCCGAAUCCUCCCCUUCCGAACGCACGAUCUGUGCCAGGGACUGCCCUGAAGGACUUGCCUUUACCCCAGGGCCUGAAAGGGCGCGACCUGGUCGGAGGAUUGCAAACCCACUCCGAGCAUGCAGCGAGACCUGGGAAGGGAAGGAGCUGUGAGGGCGCGAGCUUGGGCAGAGGUCUGGGACAAUGGCGGGGAGAGGGGAGAGAGAGUACAGGGACGGCGCUGCGGACGGCCAGACUGACUGGAGCGGCGGCCUCCUUUCGACGGACUACGCGCCGCCUGCUGGAGCAGCAAACCUCGGGAACCUGACGCCCUUCGCGAGCCUUGAAUUGGUGCGGAGUAGGAAGGAGGAGGGGGCAGAGCCAUCCGAACCCGGCCCCCUAUGCAAAACACACACACACACACACACACACGUUUAGCCUUUUGGAUCCCCAUGCAGGGUAACCUGUAAGUCUCGCCUGGGCGGAGAACAUUGUUGGCUGCCUGAGCCCUCGGCAGAGGAUGGCGAGCCUCGUAAGCCCCACAAAAACAGCAAGGGACCAGCGGGAGUUCUGGCCUUGCAGCUCGGACGCUGGUGAGGGAUUCCUAGAAAACAGCGCCCUCUGGAGGAGCUGCGCAUCCACGCAGAGUCUGGACCACUAGAUCUGGGACCAGAGCUUCCCUUCCCGACCCCAUCCUUUAGGCAAAGUUAUCCGGAGACUCAUCACCUCCUAAUUCCUCUUUGCUCAUGCUUGCUUCCUUUCCCAACCUGUACACUUGCUUCAAAACCCUGCUCAAAUCCCGCCUCCUCCAGAAAGAAGCCUUUUCAAGAGCCCAACCCAUCUUCCCCUCUUCCUGCUCUAGGCAUCUCAGAAUCUGAAGCCUGAACCCUCGACUUCACCGCUCACACCCCGCACUGCACAGUCGAUCUGCUUCCUGCCUCGCCCUUCUCCAAAGAGACUGUUAAUCCGUCCACUCCACCCACCCAUUGCAUUGCAUACUGUUUUUCUUUCCCCCUAGUAAAGGAAGACUGAAGUCAUUUAUUCCAAAAUGGGACUUUUUGGUUUUCAAAGUUUAUUUCCUAUAUGGGGAACUUGAGACUUUGCCCAACGUCAUACAGCAAAUUGGUAGCAGAGGUGGAACUAAAUCCCUAGUCUCUAGUUUAACAAACCAGACCCCUCUCCGUGUCACCUGGAUGAGGAGCAGGUAAUGUGGGAAAGCGCUUAUUUUGAGGAGUGAAGACUGAUUGGGGGAGUUUUGACAUAGGACGGGGAAAUGCAAGAGGGAACUUGGUGUGUGUGUGUGUAUGGAGGGGAGAGAGUCAGUGCUCCAGGACGGGGCAGUAAGUAAGGACAGUCAGGCUGUUCCUUCUCCCAACCCCAGCCCAAAUGAAGCUACUUUGAUGGGCUUCAGAUUUCAGGGGUUGGCUGGAUGUCCUACAACAACAGGCAAGUCAGCUGGAGGCUGGGAACAGCUUCAAUUCAGGCAAAUACCACCCUUCCCUCUGCCCUGGGAAGGAAGGGUUGGGCCUAGAAACCUCUGCUGCUAAUACACACCCAGAAGGUUCUGCUGAUCUCUAGAUCAACGGAGGAGGCCUUCCAGUGCUUGCAAUUAUGAAGUUAAGAGAGAAGCUGGGAGACUGAUUUCCAUGUGAUUUGCAUGAGGCCCCAGUUGACACUUGCCCUGAGGUUCGAGGCCUUCUCAGCGAUGCUACCAGUGCUUGUCCACACAGGCCGGUUCCUGCCUGUAUGUCCAGCUUCACCUCUAACCCCUGUACCCCACUCACACCUGAUUUGCUCUUUUUCACCUCUUCACCUUUGCACUCAGCUCACUCCUGCCUGGCCUACUCCUCCUAAUUUUCAUCCAUUUCAAAUGUCAAGCUUUAUGAACUGCUUCCCCCAACAGCACCGCACACUGGCCAGGCUGUGAGGGGCUCUGCCUCUGUGCUGCCAGAGACUUAACUCCCUAUGUUGUUAUGGUUUGUUUCCCAGUCUGUCAUCCUCUAUCAACUAUGUGCUCCUUGAGAACAGGCAUUAUAUUGUCUUCAUCCUCAUUAAAUGGGGAUAAGAAUUGUACCAUCUCAUUGAGUGGUUGUGAGGAUUAAAUAGAAUAAUGUAUAUAAAGCACUUAGCCUAGUGCCUGAAACUUGAAAGAGCUCAAUGAAUGUUUCUCAUCAUUAUCAUCAUCAUUACUAAUCACUCUAUUUUCUGCCAGGCACAAAAUUCAACAUACAGUAGGUACUCAAUAAAUGUUAGAUUUUUGGACACAUGAAUGAAUGAAUGGUAUGACAGAUCUCUUCCUCUUGUCCAAGACUCCCCAGAAAGCUAGCUUACAUCAUCAGUAGGAAUAUGUGUUUUCUAAGGACAGACAUUGUUUUUCCCCCAUCAGUCCUCAUCCCUGAAGGAAGAAAAACAUGUUCCCUUUCAGAGAAAGUUUUUUUCAUGGUCCCUGACCUCAGCAGUCAUUGGAUUUCUCUCUUGUACUCUCUGCUUCAGUUUCCUUUUUUUAAAAUGGUACUGAAAACCUUCCAGUUAUAAAAUAAGUCAUGGGGAUAUAAAGUAAAACAUAGAGAAUAGAGUUAAUAACAUUUGUAAUAACUAUUUAUGGUAACAGAUGAUUACUAGACUUAUUGUGGUGGUCAUUUUAUAAGGCAUAUAAAUGUUGAAUCACUAUGGCAUACACUUGAAACUAAUAUAAUACUAUAUUUCAAUUAUAAUUAAAAGUAAAUUAACAAAUUUUCUAAAAAAAUAAAAUGGUUAUGACCAAUCAUAACAACCAAACCCUGCCAAAAUCUUCCAGGGUCUUCCCAUUGCUUAUAAGAUAAAACUCAAUCUCCUUAGUAUGGUGAGCUGAACAUGUUUACAUAGUCCAUGUCAUCCUGAUUGGAAUAUCCAGUCACCAUUUCCCUCACACUUACCUCCAGGAGCAGACGGGUAACCUGGCUGGAUGGAACAGCUUUGCAAGUCCAAAGCCCAGCAGUUGAUCCCAGGCAGCAGUAAGUUACCUAAGCCGAACCAAUCACUCCUACCAGAUUUGAUAUAUGGACUCUGGGACCUGGGAGGAGUGCUGCUUCUUUUGGAUCAGAAGACAGGCAUGCAGGCUUAGCUGCCAGCAGCCAUCCUUCCUGCAGAGCAUUGACAUGAAAGCCUAUCCAUGAAGGGAAAAUGUCUCUCAGGAGAGGGACAGAGCUUAAUAACAGUGUUGAGUCCCCCAGCUUUGCCUGGAACUAGAACCCUUAGACUUUCCAGACAUUCUCAGAAAUAAGCUAGGUUGAAUUGAAUUUCUUCUAAUUUGAGUUGAAUUUCACAAAUAAAAGAGCCACAAGAGAGAAAGGUCCUGGGUCCCUGAGACCACUGAGAUGACAUACCACCCAAACUGCCUGCAGAGACUCUUAUGUGAAAUGAAAAUAAACUUCAAUCUUGGUUAA